rnacentral:lncRNA from 1 species
CUCCUAAACGCUUGAUUCUUAUGAAAUAUAUUAGAAACUCAUUCUGUCUUUUUUCUUUUCAAAAACUUUUCAACAUUUGGUCCAAAGCAGCUGAACAACUUGAUUACCUUCAAAAAAAAUUGCUCUGUCAAUAUAUAAAAAUUGACAAAUGUGUCAAGAUAUCAUCAACUAUAUGGUAAAGAAGGCUGUUCGAUUUAUUGAAAGGUAAAGUUCCACUACAGUAUCUCUUGUCCUCUGAAGGCGCCAUAAGUAAUAUGCAACCCGUUUCACUCUCUUCUUUGCCUUCAAAGUUGACUAUUUUGGCCUUUUAUCUCCAAGGUUCAUUCUUCUAUUUUCGGAAAUAUGAACAGUAGUAAUUUGCUAUAUCAUUCCUUCUAACAAUCUGUUCAUCGGACACUCAUAUUAUCUAGAAAGGAGAAAAUUAAAGGGCAAAUCGAAUAUGCCAGCGAUUCUCCAUGUUCUGAAAUUUCUGUGUUCUCUUAAAUAUUGACGGAAGAAAAGAAAAAGUACUUGGGGAUUCUCAUUUAUAUGCUUCUAAGAAUUGUUUUUUAGGAUUGUUUUCUACUUAAUUUUUCAAGAUUCAUGUAAAUUUAUUUUUCUUCUACUCAUAAUUAUGUUACCUAGCUUUUAAUGGGUUUUUUAUUUUCCAGUAUAUUGCUAAAAUAACACGAUCCAUCUUAUUAUAUGAAGUGUCGAAUAAGGAGAAACAAUUUAUAUAUAACAUGGUUUUAUUCUCAACAGUGAUCACAUAAGGCCUAAUCAUGGUUUCUAACAUGAAGUACAAUAAAUUCCAUGAAAACAUAGGGAACAUGUAUUAAACAGUAGGCCGAUUGAUUCCACAGUCUCACGGGAUGGACCAAAUCACAAUCUCAAAUGGUGCACGCCCACACGUCCAUCACCUAGCAUGUGCGUCACCUUCAAAAUAGUCAUACAACAUAAUGUCCGGGGUUUCAUACCCUCAGGACCAGAUUUAUAAUCGUUAUUUACCUCAACCCUGGCAAAAUCCUACUCUGAAAUGCCUUUGCCUCUCAAAUCGGCCUCCGAACGUCCCGAAUCUAGUCACAAUUAAUUUGUUUUAGUCAAUACAAUGUAUAUGAAUCAAUUCCGUAUGAAAUUACUAAUUUUCUAACAGAAUUCGAAAUUUAACUCAAAAAUUGCCUGUGGGGCCCACAUCUCGGAAUCCGGCAAAACUCAUUUAAUUACGAGUCCAACCAUACCAAUUUUACCAAAUUCCAAUAACAAAUCGACUUCCAAAUCUUAAAUUUAAGGUAUAGAAAAUCUUUACCAAUUUCAACCCAAUUUCAAAUAUAUGAGCAUAUCUCGAGGUUCUAAAUCUCAAAUCAUAAAUCUACAGGUGAAAAUUUUCUUUUAAAAAUUAAAAUCCAGCUCGUUUUUCAAUUAGAAAUCUCAUAUUUGAAUACCCAUGUCAAAAGAAUAAUAAUUAUGUCAUAAAAUAGUUUAAUACCUUGAAUGAAAAUUAAGUACAAUUGUAGUUUGUGUUUGUUGGGCAUACUGUUGCUUCGUCUGAAAACCACGAAUUGGAGGACAUUUAAUUUGCCUUGAAUCUCGAUAGAACAAGGUUGAAAAGCUUCGUAAUAGAUUCAAUGGCCUUUGGAAUACUACUGUCAGAAGCUCCCUUUAACUUUUCCCAUCAUUAUC